UCCCUGGUGGCUGAAGGCAGUAAAGCGUCUGCCUGCAAUGCAGGAGACCAGGGUUCGAUCCCUGGGUUGGGAA
rnacentral:tRNA from 1 species